CGAACUGUGCGAACGUUAUUCGGAAUCACUGGGCUUAAAGGGUGCGUAGGCGGUUUUCUAAGUCACGUGUGAAAUCUUCUGGCUCAACCAGAAAACUGGCGCGUGAUACUGGAGAACUUGAGUGAGGUAGGGGUGUGUGGAACUUCCGGUGGAGCGGUGAAAUGUGUAGAGAUCGGAAGGAACGCCAGCAGCGAAAGCGGCACACUGGGCCUUUUCUGACGCUGAGGCACGAAAGCUAGGGGAGUGAACGGGAUUAGAUACCCCGGUAGUCCUGGCCGUAAACGAUGAGCACUAGGCCGGAGGGCUGCACAGCUUUCCGGCCGUAGCUAAAGUGUUAAGUGCUCCGCCUGGGGAGUAGUGGUCGCAAGGCUG
rnacentral:rRNA from 1 species